UUUAGAGUGACAAUGAUUUAAAUCAUAAAUUAAAACAGCUGCAAUAUCAGAUUCAGUUUGUUCAUAAUGUGAUGCAACCACUGUUAGGAUCUUCAUUUAUUAAUUAUCCAGUUCUUAUUCAUCUACCUGCCAAUCAAGUCAAAAUGAUAAACAAAAUAGUACAGAACCUCAGACCAGCACACAGAUGUACAAAAAAUGUAAAAGAAAUUUCUACUUAUGC